rnacentral:tRNA from 1 species
GUACCGUUAGCUCAAUUGGAUAGAGUACUCGGCUACGAACCGGGCGGUUGGGGGUUCAAAUCCCUUACGGUGCA